rnacentral:lncRNA from 10 species
UGAGCUGAGGCACUAACCUGAGUUUAUGCCCCUGGAGACUUUUGCUUUUCAGGCAAGCAUACCUCAAGGUAUACAUGUCACGUUGUUUCAGGUGAAGGUGUGAGGUGAUGUCUUUUCAGUGAUUCCAGAUGAGGCAUGGCCUAAAGCAGAGAAUGACGCAUUCUCAGAUCAUGCGAUCGUCAUAACUGGGCUUCAUCCACCUUCCCAGAGAUUUCCUGAGAGGCUCCAGUUCAGACCUUAACACCAGCCACUACCCCACAUUUUCCCUCCACCACCACACAUUAGCAGGGGAAUAGAACAAAAUGGUGAAUUCAGUGGGGAGAAGUCCCUCCACUGGAAUUCCCUCAUGGGGAGAUUAUUCUCUCCUCUCCCAAUGGGAAAAUGCAGUAAGUGUCCCCCAGAAAAGGGGAGAUGCAGAAGACACUUAUGAAGACUUGGGUGAGUGGCCAUGGUUGAGGUGCUGCUAGGAACCCCACAGCAGAAGGAGCAAAGAUUAUAGAGGACUGAGGCCCCGUGAGAUUUCAGUUAUUGGGAAAAAAAUAAACAAUAGUUGCACAUGCAUACCCCAAUGAGGUAAUAUUGCUGAAUGUACAUCUAUUACAAGGCUUUUUCUCCAUAUUAGAGCUAAAUUUCAGCUGCCAUCUAAUUUCCUGUUAGAAUUAGCACAUUAGUAGGUUUGGAUUUUGUGACGCAUCUUAAAAUUCUUCGUUUUUGCAU